AAGAAAACGGUCAACGAUAGUCGAGCGAUUCACUCUACUUCUACGACCAAUCAUCACCAUUGCUUUCUUGCCAAACCCAAAUAAUCAGUGCUCAAGCAAACGUGAGUGACUCCCGAGGAUCAUAUAUUAUGCAUUAUUCCACGUGCGUAUAGAGUCCGGGCAUUGAUUCGGGCUCUAUGAAAGUGCUCUGAGUAUUAACCGAAAGCACAACGAAGUGUCGAAAAGCAAACCGUAGCUCAGCCAAAGCGAUCAAAAGAUAAAGAUAUUAAAAAUCAAAUGAAACGAUUGAAAUAUUAAAGUUUGUCAAAGUUGUAUUGAAACGAGUGAAACGACCGAACAAGACCAACUGACAAACUUCUUGACUCAGACUAUAAUAACUUCAUACCCACGCGAAUUAAUUUUCAUACCUUGUUCUAGAUUUACCAUAAGAAAAGUUACAUUAGAAAGUUGAUAAUUCGCUUACAUGUUCGUAAUUCCUUAGCAGGAAUGAUUAUUUAAUAUUUGUUUAUAUGUGUACAAUUUAAAAUAAAAUCUAUAAAAUAAUCGAA